UAGAGUUUGAUCAUGGCUCAGGAUGAACGCUAGCGACAGGCUUAACACAUGCAAGUCGAGGGGCAGCGGGGGUGAUGGCUUGCCAUCACCUGCCGGCGACCGGCGCACGGGUGAGUAACACGUAUGCAACCUGCCCGCCACAGGGGGAUAAGCGGAAGAAAUUCCAUCUAAUACCGCGUGACGCGGCGUCGGGGCAUCCCGGUGCCGCCAAAGGGAUUACCGGUGGCGGAUGGGCAUGCGGCGCAUUAGCUAGUCGGCGGGGUAACGGCCCACCGAGGCGACGAUGCGUAGGGGUUCUGAGAGGAAGGUCCCCCACACUGGUACUGAGACACGGACCAGACUCCUACGGGAGGCAGCAGUGAGGAAUAUUGGUCAAUGGGCGGGAGCCUGAACCAGCCAAGUCGCGUGAGGGAUGACGGUCCUACGGAUUGUAAACCUCUUUUGCCGGGGAGCAAGCGUGCGUUCGUGAACGCGCGUCGAGAGUACCCGGAGAAAAAGCAUCGGCUAACUCCGUGCCAGCAGCCGCGGUAAUACGGAGGAUGCGAGCGUUAUCCGGAUUUAUUGGGUUUAAAGGGUGCGUAGGCGGGAUGCCAAGUCAGCGGUAAAAAAGCGGUGCUCAACGCCGUCGAGCCGUUGAAACUGGCGUUCUUGAGUGGGCGAGAAGUAUGCGGAAUGCGUGGUGUAGCGGUGAAAUGCAUAGAUAUCACGCAGAACUCCGAUUGCGAAGGCAGCAUACCGGCGCCCUACUGACGCUGAGGCACGAAAGCGUGGGUAUCGAACAGGAUUAGAUACCCUGGUAGUCCACGCAGUAAACGAUGAAUGCUAACUGUCCGGUG
rnacentral:rRNA from 1 species